CGAAAGCCUGACGGAGUAACGCCGCGUGAGGGAUGGAGGCCUUUGGGCUGUAAACCUCUUUUCUCAAGGAAGAAGAUCUGACGGUACUUGAGGAAUAUGCCACGGCUAAUUCCGUGCCAGCAGCCGCGGUAAUACGGGAGUGGCAAGCGUUAUCCGGAAUUAUUGGGCGUAAAGCGCCCGCAGGCGGCCGUUUAAGUCUGUUGUUAAAUCGUGGAGCUCAACUCCAUCACGGCAAUGGAAACUGUUCGGCUUGAGUAUGGUAGGGGCAGAGGGAAUUUCCGGUGUAGCGGUGAAACGCGUAGAUAUCGGGAAGAACACCAGUGGCGAAAGCGCUCUGCUGGGCAAUUACUGACGCUCAUGGACGAAAGCCAGGGGAGCGAAAGGGAUUAGAUACCCCUGUAGUCCUGGCCGUAAACGAUGAACACUAGAUGUUGGGGGAAUCGACCCCCUCGGUGUCGUAGCUAACGCGUUAAGUGUUCCGCCUGGGGAGUACGCACGCAAGUGUGAAACUCAAAGGAAUUGACGGGGGCCCGCACAAGCGGUGGAGUAUGUGGUUUAAUUCGAUGCAACGCGAAGAACCUUACCAAGGCUUGACAUCCUGCGAAUCUCUAAGAAAUUAGAGAGUGCCUUCGGGAACGCAGUGACAGGUGGUGCAUGGCUGUCGUCAGCUCGUGUCGUGAGAUGUUGGGUUAAGUCCCGCAACGAGCGCAACCCACGUUUUUAGUUGCCAGCAUUCAGUUGGGCACUCUAGAAAGACUGCCGGUGACAAACCGGAGGAAGGUGUGGACGACGUCAAGUCAUCAUGCCCCUUACGCCUUGGGCUACACACGUACUACAAUGCUGCGGACAAAGAGUAGCGAUCUUGCAAAAGUUAGCUAAUCUCAUAAACCGUGGCUCAGUUCAGAUCGUAGGCUGCAACUCGCCUACGUGAAGGAGGAAUCGCUAGUAAUCGCAGGUCAGCAUACUGCGGUGAAUACGUUCCCGGGCCUUGUACACACCGCCCGUCACACCAUGGAAGUUGGCCAUGCCCGAAGUCGUUACUCUAACCUUUUGGAAGAGGGCGCCGAAGGCAGGGCUAAUGACUGGGGUGAAGUCGUAACAAGGUAGCCGUAGCGGAAGCUGCGGCUGGAUCACCUCCUAA
rnacentral:rRNA from 1 species